GACGGAGGGUGCAAGCGUUGUUCGGAUUGACUGGGCGUAAAGGGCGUGUAGGCGGUUGGUCAAGUCUGAUGUGAAAGCCCGGGGCUCAGCCCCGGAAGGGCAUCGGAAACUAGCCAGCUGGAGCGCGAUAGAGGAGGGUGGAAUUCCUGGUGUAGCGGUGAAAUGCGUAGAUAUCAGGAGGAACACCGGCGGCGAAGGCGGCCCUCUGGACCGUUGCUGACGCUGAGACGCGAAAGCGUGGGGAGCAAACAGG
rnacentral:rRNA from 1 species